GGUUGAUCAGAGAGCAUACAUUUUACAAACGAUGUAUAUCAACUGAUCCACAGU
rnacentral:pre_miRNA from 1 species